rnacentral:rRNA from 1 species
ACAAGCGGAGGAACAUGUGGUUUAAUUCGAUGAUACGCGAGGAACCUUACCCGGGCUUGAACUGCAGCAGGCGGAUCCAGAGAUGGUGACUCCCUUCGGGGCUUCUGUGGAGGUGCUGCAUGGUUGUCGUCAGCUCGUGCCGUGAGGUGUCGGCUUAAGUGCCAUAACGAGCGCAACCCUUUUCGCCAGUUGCCAGCAUGUGAUGGUGGGCACUCUGGGGACACUGCCACCGUAAGGUGUGAGGAAGGUGGGGAUGACGUCAAAUCAGCACGGCCCUUACGUCCGGGGCUACACACGUGUUACAAUGGGGUAUACAGAGAGUAGGGUGCCGGCAACGUCGCUCCAAUCUUUAAAGUGCCCCUCAGUUCGGAUUGGGGUCUGCAACCCGACCCCAUGAAGCUGGAUUCGCUAGUAAUCGCGCAUCAGCCAUGGCGCGGUGAAUACGUUCCCGGGCCUUGUACACACCGCCCGUCAAGCCAUGAAAGCCUGGGGCGCCUGAAGUCCGUGACCGCGAGGGUCGGCCUAGGGUGAAACAGGUGAUUGGGGCUAA